rnacentral:tRNA from 1 species
CGGGGCGUAGCGCAGCCCGGUAGCGCACCUGCUUCGGGAGCAGGGUGUCGGAGGUUCAAAUCCUCUCGCCCCGACCA